rnacentral:lncRNA from 1 species
AUGUGUGUACCUAUGCAACUAUCUUGCAUGUUCUUGCUCGAUGUGGCAAGAAUGAAAAGACUAAUAUAUAUUUACUUGAGCCACCUCUCAGGGUUACAUCAGCAGCAAGAAAUCUUGAAAGAUUAUAUAAACUGUUUCUACAGAAGAAAGACAAAGCUUAAUAUAAAAGCAGCAGAUUCCCCGAGAUCAAUAUUUAUCAGCUGUGAAUCCAAUCCAUUUUGUGUUCAGUAGUUACCUGGGCCAUUUUUUUUCACCUCCAUAGAACUUGGGUGACAAGGGAAACCAGUUCCAGCAUGAUACACCUGCUGCUUUUUGUGUUAUUAUUACUUUGUCUCUGGUCCAAGAACCUUGUGUCAUGGACCUGUAUUAGUGAUGUAACAGGCUAGCUUAUUAACUUGUUAAUAGUGUAAAAUCCCAGGUGUUGAUACAUUCUCCCUCUCCAUUGAUUUAAAGACCUGAGCCAUAAAAAUGAGUAAUUAGAAGAGGUUCUGUCAGGUUCUUCCAUAUCCCAUAUGAAAGAAAUGGAGAAGGCUGCUUUAUAAAUGAUCCAUACAUUGACUUGGGACUGGGUCUCAUUAAAGAAACCCAGUGGCACAGUGGGAGGUUAAGUGGAUAGAGGUCUGGACAUUAACUCAUACAAUGCACACAAUUCUCCACGAAUUGAAGAAAAUUAACAGAAGUUCUUGUACCCCCAGUGGAAUAAAGUAAAAGGAAGCCAAGGAUGCUGGCAGUUAACUCAUCAGAAGAGGCACUGUAGAACUACAAGUAAACUCUCUGGGCUGAACAUUGAAUGAGGGGCACAGACAGAUCUUAGAGUAACUUAGUGCCAGAGAUUUUUGGGGUUGAGUCAUCAGGAUCUUGAGAGAAACUGUUUGGCAUUGUAAUUCGGCUGAAGACUCUGGGAUCCCAAGGGCACUCUAAGGCAUGACUUGGACAGGAACACACAGUGAUUCAUAAUGACAAAUGAUCACGUAAGUCUUCCUUCCCAAAUAUCCCUGGAUACUCCUGAGAAAUCUCGGGUUGAGACAGCACUUGGCCAUCUGAGACAGCAUUAGUGUGCAAAAGGGAUUGAGGCCACAGUGAAAGGACUGACAAAAUAGUGUCAUCAUCCUAAAUUGUAAUCAAAAGUGCUAAGAAGUGUUUUUCCUCAUUUCUAGGUUCUAGAAGCUUGUUACAAAGACCCAGGCUUUGACAUAAACAGUAAGUAAAUCACACUUUCUCUGCCUGUCUGCACUGCAAUGUGAGUGGAUUUGUGUCUCUAUUUUAUACAAUGCCAGAAGAUGAGAAAAACAAGGUAAAAUAGUAAAAUCAGCUAAAUUCAAUCAGUGAGUUUUCUCAGUGCAUAGCAUAGAACACAUAAGAGGAGGAGCCUUGAAUGUCAUGCAAAAAGAAGUUUUUGUUGCA